rnacentral:rRNA from 1 species
ACGGGAGGCAGCAGUGGGGAAUAUUGGACAAUGGGGGAAACCCUGAUCCAGCGACGCCGCGUGAGUGAAGAAGUAUUUCGGUAUGUAAAGCUCUAUCAGCAAGGAAGAAAAUGACGGUACUUGACUAGGAAGCCCCGGCUAACUACGUGCCAGCAGCCGCGGUAAUACGUAGGGGGCAAGCGUUAUCCGGAUUUACUGGGUGUAAAGGGAGCGUAGACGGCAUAGCAAGUCUGAAGUGAAAUGCAUGGGCUCAACCCAUGAACUGCUUUGGAAACUGUUAAGCUAGAGUGCAGGAGAGGUAAGUGGAAUUCCUAGUGUAGCGGUGAAAUGCGUAGAUAUUAGGAGGAACACCAGUGGCGAAGGCGGCUUACUGGACUGUAACUGACGUUGAGGCUCGAAAGCGUGGGGAGCAAACAGGAUUAGAUACCCUGGUA